CCUGAGAAACCCAAAAGAUCGAAUGGGAGAUUCACCGUCAGCGGGCUGCUCUGCGAUCGCGAUGCCGGACCUCGUCUCGCGUCACGCGUCCGUUGCGGCAUGUCCGGCUACGUCGGCGUGCACUUCUCCCUAGUAGGACGUCGCGACCCGUUGGGUGUCGGACCGAUGGCCCGUUUGGUCGCCUGUCUCGUCGCGUUCACGCGUGCACGGGGCAGACCGAAAUGGUCGAGCGUCCGGCUGCCCGGCGGUAUAGAACGCUAUUGAACGGUAAUGGGCCGCAUUAAGUGCGUCCAGGCUCGUCGGCAGGCUCGUCUCGCCCGGAUUUACGGACCUAGCGCCGUUGCCGGGUGCUUGGCGUGGCCGUUAGUCGACGAUGUCCUCGGACUGGCUCUAAAAUUCGAAAGGAUUACCGGUCGGCGACGCUACUGCUUUGGGUACUUUCAGGACCCGUC
rnacentral:rRNA from 1 species